UACGGAGGGUGCAAGCGUUAUCCGGAUUCACUGGGUUUAAAGGGUGCGUAGGUGGGUUGGUAAGUCUAGUGGUGAAAUCCCCGAGCUUAACUUGGGAACUGCCAUUGAUACUAUCAGUCUUGAAUACCGUGGAGGUCGGCGGAAUAUGUCAUGUAGCGGUGAAAUGCUUAGAUAUGACAUAGAACACCAAUUGCGAAGGCAGCUGACUACGCGAGUAUUGACAACUGAGGCACGAAAGCGUGGGGAUCAAACAGG
rnacentral:rRNA from 1 species